UGUCAUCCCAGUGUAAAGGGGAACUUCAAGCCUGCAAAUAACGUACCAGAUCUCAAUUAUAAUAUUUUCCCACACUAGAACUAAUAUCAUUGCAAGGACCUACAAUACAGAAAAUGGCAGACACACAAAUACACCACAGACAGACACACAAAAGGAACACAGUGAUUCGACUGUUUGUGUUUUAUGGAUACAUGUGUUUGCAAAAUGAUACAUGCAUUGCAUUUUAGUUGUCCAUAAAAUAAAAU